rnacentral:rRNA from 1 species
UACGUAGGGUGCAAGCGUUGUCCGGAAUUACUGGGCGUAAAGAGCGCGUAGGCGGCUCGAUAAGUUCUGUGUGAAAGCCCCCGGCUCAACUGGGGAGGGUCGCGGAAAACUGUCGGGCUGGAGUGUCGGAGAGGGAAGUGGAAGUCCCGGAGUAGGGGUGAAAUCCGUAGAGACCGGGCCGAACACCAGUGGCGAAGGCGACUUCCUGGCCGACGACUGACGCUGAGGCGCGAAAGCGUGGGGAGCGAACGGG